UACGAAGGUGGCAAGCGUUGUUCGGAUUUACUGGGCGUACAGGGAGCGUAGGCGGUUGGGUAAGCCCUCCGUGAAAUCUCUGGGCCUAACCCGGAAAGUGCGGAGGGGACUGCUCGGCUAGAGGAUGGGAGAGGAGCGCGGAAUUCCCGGUGUAGCGGUGAAAUGCGUAGAGAUCGGGAGGAAGGCCGGUGGCGAAGGCGGCGCUCUGGAACAUUUCUGACGCUGAGGCUCGAAAGCGUGGGGAGCAAACAGG
rnacentral:rRNA from 1 species